UGGGGCACCCGGGUUUGAACCGGGAACCUCUCGAUCUGUAGACGAAUGCUCGACCACUUAGCUAUUCUGCCC
rnacentral:tRNA from 13 species